GUCUUUGUUUGGAUAUAAAGUGACAGAUGCUCAUUGUGAACUGAGCAGUCUGAAAUCUCAAUAUCCAAGAAAGAUUUGGGGCACAAAAAUGAAAUGAACACGUUUUGUAUAGACCAUAAAUCUAUCCUAACCUGUACACGGAUUCAUAAUAGGUCACCUUUAGUUCACCUACUUUCUGUCUUUUCUGUCAUAUAAUCCUCCCUGCUGUGUGAGUCAGUGUGCAGGUUUAAGGAAAGCCAAAACAUCAGCCUGCAGACAUUAAGUAAACGGCCAAGAUCGUCUCCUCUGAUUGGGUGGAUAUAAGUUACCUGGUUUGAUUUCAUUCUGGGUGAAUUUCAUCCACACUGCUCAUGGUUCUGUCUGCAGAGGACUGGCCAUAAAAGGGCAGACAGACAAAAAGACACACUCUCCAUACCGCUGCUGUCUGCUCAGUCACAUGCUGUCAGCGUGGACCGACACGUUUCCCCACACAUGAGCUCUGCCUCCCCACCUAUCUUGUUUUUCUCUCUCUUCUCGAUUUUUAGAUUCUGUUUUGACGUUCCGCCUGCUGUUUAUUCUUUUCCCUUUUUGUGUUGCUAUUGUGGUUCCCUGUGUUUCCACUUCCAUGCCUCUUGCAGGGAAACAUGGGCAUCCGCGCGGCCCGAGCAGAGCCAUUUAAUUUGGGCCUCAUUUUUUCCAUGACACGGAGCAUAAACAAUCUGGACCCAGCAGAACGCCUCGUUAAGCGGCCGCUGCCUGCCGCCAUUUCCCCGCCCGGUCCAGUGAAGCUGCUGCCGCUGCAGCGAGGCGUCCCUCAGUGGAGGUUUUGGCGUUGGAACGGCCUGGUCGUGAUUCAAGCCUGAUGGGCCGACUGGAUGCAGCUCAGACGUGAAACUGAAACCGUGUUCUGGGAUCUACACCUUUUACGGAGGGAAAUGAGAGGGACACGGCGGCGCUAACUGGAGCGUCACAUUCUGUCCUCCUGACCGAAAUUAUACACACCAGGGGACGCACCAUUAUGUGGUCCAUGUUCUCCAUUAAUGGGCUCUUCUGUGGCCAACAUUAUGUCAGAGAGAAAUUUGAACGAAGCAGCCAGAACCGCCAUGAUGCAGGUGAGAAAAACAGACAGUAAAAGGCCAGAAUCAGGGCAGAUCCAAGACUCUUUGGGGCCCUAAGCAGGUUUUCAUUUGAGACCCCCUACCAAAGUGUCAACAUCAGAUUCUGUGUGUAGCAUACCUGCUAUCAUUAGCAUCAUUUGUAAUUAGCUGACAUCAUACCAGUGUAAUUAUGGCUGUUGAUUUUAACAUUACAAGAACUAAAAAAAUACAUUUUUAUUUUAUUAUUUUAACUAUUUUAAAUUAGCAUCAGCUAAUAAAUACUAAAUUUGCAGCAACGGCAGCAGGAAGAAAUCAACCUAUUUGUGGAAAUAACAUGGAAAUUGUUUUUCCAUGUGUAACAGUAUUUUGUUUGUGUUAUUCACUGGUAUUUAAGUAUAUUUAUCAUGCUAGCUUUGUGCUCAAGUUAAGCAGCCACUUAACUCCCAUAUGCUUUGGGCCGACUGAGAACUGAAUUAUUUCUAAAUAAUACAACUAGUUCCUGUAGUUGCAUCUUUGCAAACUGUGAUAAUUCUUCAGCGUUUUGCCUGAUUUGCCUCUCAGAUCUCUGAUUGGACAGAUCAUCAGAGGUUACACAAUCAUUCUCCACUGUUGUCCACUCAUAUCCAGAGGAGAGAACCUUGUGUGAUGCUGCGAAACGUAAUGAAUGAACACUAAAGAUUAACUGUGUUUGCAUGCUCUCACUAAUCUGACCACUGGCAGAACUCCAGUUGAGUCCAUGAAGUUUCCAUGCUGCAGGCUCUGAUAUAAUGUGAACGUGGGCCAAGCAUGCUAACUGGGUUUCCGCUAAUUGGAUCUAUUCAUUCACAGAAAACAGAGAAUCCAGUUUAUUCAGCUAAGUUUAGUGAAGCACAGGCCGCUCUCUGUGACUGAAAACAGCAUCUGUUGCUAUGACUGUAAAAUCAACCCGCCGUUAUCAGAGCCUGAACGGGUUUUGAGAUAAAUCUCAGAAAUUUUCUAGAAAAAAUAAGGAAAUUUCUAAGUUUGAAAUGUAUAAAAUGUGCUAA